GGGCGCUGAAUUGAUUGCAGAGCAGCCUUUGUUGGUGUGAAACCCCAACUAUUUAUUCUCGUUAGAGGCAUGCCAAGCUCGAGCAACCACUUUGCAUUCACACAACAGCAGAGAGACAGCAUAAAAGGUAUUUCAGAGAUACUGCAGGUGUACCUAAGGAGGCAGCUGCAGAGUUCAUCUUCAAAUGUCUGAAUCACAAGGUCCUCCUUUGGCACGCUCCACAGUCAAAAUGAAGUGCACAAGGAAGUUCAGCCUAUUUACAAUAUUCACAAGACACAGUCAGAAGACAUUCACACUGAAUCUGCACCAGAA